CCUCUGGUAGCUCAACCGGAAGAGCAUGGGACUGUAACAGAAUAUCUGACAUCCCAAGGUCGCUGGUUCAACUCCAGUUCGGAGGA